rnacentral:rRNA from 1 species
UACGGGGGGGGCGAGCGUUGUUCGUGAAAACUCACAGCUCAACUGUGGGCGUGCGGGCGAUACGGGCAGACUGGAGUACUGCAGGGGAGACUGGAAUUCCUGGUGUAGCGGUGGAAUGCGCAGAUAUCAGGAGGAACACCGGUGGCGAAGGCGGGUCUCUGGGCAGUAACUGACGCUGGAGGAGCGAAAGCGUGGGGAGCGAACAGG